CAUAUCAAUAAGCGGAGGAAGAAGAAACUAACAAGGAUUCCCCUAGUAACUGCGAGUGAAGCGGGAAAAGCUCAAAUUUAAAAUCUGGCAGUCUUUGGCUGUCCGAGUUGUAAUCUAGAGAAGUGUUAUCCGCGCUGGACCGUGUACAAGUCUCCUGGAAUGGAGCGUCAUAGAGGGUGAGAAUCCCGUCUUUGACACGGACUACCAGGGCUUUGCGAUGCGCUCUCAAAGAGUCGAGUUGUUUGGGAAUGCAGCUCAAAAUGGGUGGUAAAUUCCAUCUAAAGCUAAAUAUUGGCGAGAGACCGAUAGCGAACAAGUACCGUGAGGGAAAGAUGAAAAGAACUUUGGAAAGAGAGUUAAACAGUACGUGAAAUUGCUGAAAGGGAAACGCUUGAAGUCAGUCGCGUCGUCCAGGGAUCAACCUUGCUUUUGCUUGGUGCACUUUCUGGUUGACGGGUCAGCAUCAAUUUUGACUAUUGGAAAAAGAUCAAGGGAAUGUGGCAUCUUUGGAUGUGUUAUAGCCCUUGGUUGCAUACAAUGGUUGGGAUUGAGGAACUCAGCACGCCGCAAGGCCGGGUUUUUAACCACGUACGUGCUUAGGAUGUUGGCAUAAUGGCUUUAAUCGACCCGUCUUGAAACACGGACCAAGGAGUCUAACAUGCCUGCGAGUGUUUGGGUGGAAAACCCGAGCGCGCAAUGAAAGUGAAAGUUGAGAUCCCUGUCGUGGGGGAGCAUCGACGCCCAGACCAGACCUUUUGUGACGGAUCUGCGGUAGAGCAUGUAUGUUGGGACCCGAAAGAUGGUGAACUAUGCCUGAAUAGGGUGAAGCCAGAGGAAACUCUGGUGGAGGCUCGUAGCGAUUCUGACGUGCAAAUCGAUCGUCAAAUUUGGGUAUAGGGGCGAAAGACUAAUCGAACCAUCUAGUAGCUGG
rnacentral:rRNA from 1 species